rnacentral:lncRNA from 1 species
UCUUCCCUACUGUUAUUAGUAGCCAAAGAUUUCUCUGGCAGGAUGGUACAGUUGCUAAAAGUACUUGCCAACAAGCCUAAUCACCCAAGCUUGCUCCUCAGAACCUACAUGGUGGGAGAGAACUAAUUCCCACAAGUUGUCUGUUAACUUUGCCCUCCACACGUGUUGAUACACAUAUACACACAACAUUUUUAAAAGAUUUUUUUUGUUAUCUCCAAGUAAAACACGAAUAAGGCACCAUCUAACUGUGCCUUAAACAAUCUUUCUCUUGUUAAAAUUUCAUGUAUAAUUAUCUAAAAAUUCUUAGACUAAAGGCCACACUGUUUUCAUUGAUACUUGAUAGCUCUGAGUCGGUAGUUGAAAGUUGGGUAGUAUGAGGAAAUCAGAAUUUAGAUCUUACAAUAUUAUUAAUUCCUUUCUAUUUUAAUUUUUAAAAUACAUUUGAAUUUCAUGGGGGGAGGGGAGACUUAUGUCUGAGUGCAAAUGCCCAAGAGGCCAGAAUCCAGUAGAGAUGAAGUCCCAGGAAGUUGUGCCCUGCCUGAUGUGGGUGCUGGGUACUGAUCAUCAGUUCUCUGAAGGAGCAGAGUAGAAUAUGCUCUUAGUGGCACUGAAUAGGGAAUAAACAUGGCUUAGUUAUUGCAAUGCUCAUGCUUAUUAAUCUGCUAUCCUUAGAAAAGGGCCAAUGACAGUGUAUGUUGUCCUAGAAUAAACAUCUAUGACAUAACCAGUAAGAAAGAAGGAAAUGAAAAAAGAAUGCAGGACUGGGGGACGGUCCAGUGCUUAAGAACAACUACUCAUCUUUUUGAAGACCUGAGUUUAAUUUGCAGCAUCCAUAUAAAGCUUACAGCUACCUGUAAUUCCAGCUCUGGGGGAUGUGAUACCCUUGUCUAGCCUCAGUGCUCCCCCUCCUCUUUCCUACACAUAAAUAAAAUUCC